rnacentral:misc_RNA from 1 species
CAACAUUGAAAUACAAGUUAGCUUCCAAGUUGACUGGAGCAGGGGGUGGGGGUUGCGUACUGACUCUGCUACCAACCUUGUUAUCAGGAACAGUUGUUGAUAAAGUAAUUGCUGAACUGGAGUCAUGCGGAUUCCAAUGUUUGAUUGCCAGAAUAGGUGGGAAUGGUGUUGAGAUUUGCAUUGGUGGUUCAUCCUGAUUAUAACAGGGCAGCAAUAAAUUAGAGUAAGAUCUUAUCUUUAAUGUCAAUUUUCAAAUAAGAUCACAAAGUGUAGGCUUUGCUGGUAAAGCUGAUUUAUUUCUUACGACAUCAUCUGUAUGAUAUUUCGUUGUUGUUUAUCUU